GACGAACGCUGGCGGCGUGCUUAACACAUGCAAGUCACGGGGGCCCGCAAGGGCAACCGGCGAACGGGUGCGUAACACGUGAACAACCUGCCCUCGUGUGGGGGAUAGCCAUGCUAACGCGUGGGUAAUACCGCAUACGUUCCCCUGGAGGAGUCUCUGGGGGAGGAAAGCUCCGGCGCACGGGGAGGGUUCGCGGCCUAUCAGCUAGUUGGCGGGUAAUGGCCCACCAAGGCGACGACGGUAGCUGGCUGAGAGGAUGGCCAGCCACAUUGGGACUGAGAGACGGCCCAGACUCCUACGGGAGCAGCAGUGGGGAAUCUUGCGCAAUGGUCUAACGACUGACGCAAGCGACGCCGCG
rnacentral:rRNA from 1 species